UGCUCGCUUCAGCAGCACAUUACUGAAAUUGGAACAAUACACAGGAGAUUAGCAUGGCCCUUGUAUAUGGAUGAUGCACAAGUUCAUGAAGCAUUCCAUAUUUUU